UGAGGAAUAUUGGUCAAUGGGCGAGAGCCUGAACCAGCCAAGUAGCGUGCAGGAUGACGGCCCUAUGGGUUGUAAACUGCUUUUAUAAGGGAAUAAAGUUAGCCUCGUGAGGCUUUUUGCAUGUACCUUAUGAAUAAGGACCGGCUAACUCCGUGCCAGCAGCCGCGGUAAUACGGAGGGUGCAAGCGUUAAUCAGAAUAACUGGGCGUAAAGGGCAUGCAGGCGGUUUAUCAAGUAGGAUGUGAAAGCCCCGGGCUCAACCUGGGAAUUGCAUUCUAAACUGAUAGACUAGAGUAUUGCAGGGGGAGACGGAAUUCCAGGUGUAGCGGUGGAAUGCGUAGAUAUCUGGAAGAACACCAAAGGCGAAGGCAGUCUCCUGGGC
rnacentral:rRNA from 1 species